rnacentral:rRNA from 1 species
GUAGGGGGCAAGCGUUGUCCGGAAUCAUUGGGCGUAAAGCGCGCGUAGGCGGCCUCACAAGUCCGCUGUAAAAGUCAAAGGCUCAACCUUUGAAUGCCAGUGGAAACUGUGAGGCUAGAGUCCGGAAGAGGCGAGUGGAACUCCUGGUGUAGCGGUGGAAUGCGCAGAUAUCAGGAAGAACACCAACGGCGAAGGCAGCUCGCUGGGACGGUACUGACGCUGAGGCGCGAAAGCGUGGGGAGCAAACAGGAUUAGAUACCCUGGUAGUCCACGCCGUAAACGAUGGGCACUAGGUGUGGGAGGUGUCGACUCCUCCCGUGCCGGCGCUAACGCAUUAAGUGCCCCGCCUGGGGAGUACGGCCGCAAGGCUAAA